rnacentral:rRNA from 1 species
CAUGCAAGUCGAGCGGGGGAUGUUGCUUCGGUAACUGACCUAGCGGCGGACGGGUGAGUAAUGCUUAGGAAUCUGCCUAUUAGUGGGGGACAACAUUCCGAAAGGAAUGCUAAUACCGCAUACGCCCUACGGGGGAAAGCAGGGGAUCUUCGGACCUUGCGCUAAUAGAUGAGCCUAAGUCAGAUUAGUUAGUUGGUGGGGUAAAGGCCUACCAAGGCGACGAUCUGUAGCGGGUCUGAGAGGAUGAUCCGCCACACUGGGACUGAGACACGGCCCAGACUCCUACGGGAGGCAGCAGUGGGGAAUAUUGGACAAUGGGCGGAAGCCUGAUCCAGCCAUGCCGCGUGUGUGAAGAAGGCCUUUUGGUUGUAAAGCACUUUAAGCGAGGAGGAGGCUACCGAGGCUAAUACUCUUGGAUAGUGGACGUUACUCGCAGAAUAAGCACCGGCUAACUCUGUGCCAGCAGCCGCGGUAAUACAGAGGGUGCGAGCGUUAAUCGGAUUUACUGGGCGUAAAGCGUGCGUAAGCGGCUUUUUAAGUCGGAUGUGAAAUCCCUGAGCUUAACUUAGGAAUUGCAUUCGAUACUGGGAAGCUAGAGUAUGGGAGAGGAUGGUAGAAUUCCAGGUGUAGCGGUGAAAUGCGUAGAGAUCUGGAGGAAUACCGAUGGCGAAGGCAGCCAUCUGGCCUAAUACUGACGCUGAGGUACGAAAGCAUGGGGAGCAAACAGGAUUAGAUACCCUGGUAGUCCAUGCCGUAAACGAUGUCUACUAGCCGUUGGGGCCUUUGAGGCUUUAGUGGCGCAGCUAACGCGAUAAGUAGACCGCCUGGGGAGUACGGUCGCAAGACUAAAACUCAAAU